rnacentral:tRNA from 1 species
AGGGAAAUACCUCAGUGGUAGAGUGCAUGCUUAGCAUGUGUAAGGUCCUGGGUUCAAUCCCCAGUACCUCCA